AGUUACCACAGUGCAGUGCACUCAUAGUAGUUCAAAAUAGCAGAUGUCUGGUGUAAAAAUUUAUUAUGAUUUCUUUUCUUCUGUUUCAGGAAAUCAAGAUUCAAUCCAUGAAAGUUGUGACUAUGAUGAUGUGGAGUCCAACCAGACCUAUGCCAAUGUUGAUUAUUUUAAACGCAAAACCUCUCGGAAUAUAAAGGUCUAACAGGAUGAAGACACUGACUUAUUCUGCUGUCAGGACUAAAAAGAAGAGAGAGGCGGACAUCGAUCCCAGCGGUCUCUACAGCUACAUCACUAAGUCACAAUUAACCAAUUAGGGAAAUAAGACGUCUCAUCACACCCCCGUCUUUUAAUAAACCUGUUUACAGGAAGUGAACCGUUGGGUAUU